rnacentral:rRNA from 1 species
CAGAUGUGAAAGACCCGGGGCGUCAACCUCGGAACUGCAUUUGAAACUAGGCAGACUAGAGUACUGUAGAGGGGGGUAGGAAUUUCAGGUGUAGCGGUGAAAUGCGUAGAGAUCUGAAGGAAUACCGGUGGCGAAGGCGGCCCCCUCGGACAGAUACUGACACUCAGAUGCGAAAGCGUGGGGAGCAAACAGGAUUAGAUACCCUGGUAG